CGAGCGGAUUGAUAGGGAGCUUGCUCCCAUCAAUCAGCGGCGGACGGGUGAGUAACACGUGGGUAACCUGCCUGUAAGACUGGGAUAACUCCGUAAAACCGGGGCUAAUACCGGAUAACUCAUUUCCUCGCAUGAGGAAAUGUUGAAAGGUGGCUUUUAGCUAUCACUUACAGAUGGACCCGCGGCGCAUUAGCUAGUUGGUGAGGUAACGGCUCACCAAGGCGACGAUGCGUAGCCGACCUGAGAGGGUGAUCGGCCACACUGGGACUGAGACACGGCCCAGACUCCUACGGGAGGCAGCAGUAGGGAAUCUUCCGCAAUGGACGAAAGUCUGACGAAGCAACGCCGCGCGAAAGAUGAGGGUUUUCGGAUCGAAAAACUCUGUGGUAAGGGAAGAACAAUUACGGUUCAAGAAGGAGGGCCACUUUGAGGGGCACUACAAAAAAACCGCGGGCUAAUAAAAGGCAACAGCCGGGGUAAAAUGUAAGUUGGCAGACGAUUGCCCGAAAUAUUUGGGUUAAAGGGCCUAAGAUGGUGGAU
rnacentral:rRNA from 1 species